rnacentral:rRNA from 1 species
AGUUGUUGCUGGUCUUUUCGAAGGCAUGUGCACGCUAUGUCAUCUUUAUCUCUCCACCUGUGCACCUUUUGUAGACCUAGAUUCAACUUUCCGAGCGGGUUGUGAGGAAUUGCUUCCUUGUAUGUCUCUAGGCCUAUGUUUUUCAUAUACACCAGUUAUGUAAUAGAAUGUAAUUCCAAAUGGGUCAUUUGUGUCCUAUAAAUUAUAUACAACUUUCAGCAACGGAUCUCUUGGCUCUCGCAUCGAUGAAGAACGCAGCGAAAUGCGAUAAGUAAUGUGAAUUGCAGAAUUCAGUGAAUCAUCGAAUCUUUGAACGCACCUUGCGCUCCUUGGUAUUCCGAGGAGCAUGCCUGUUUGAGUGUCAUUAAUAUUCAACCUUUUUGCAGCUUUUUGUUUGUUGAGUGUUGGAUGUGGGGGGCAACUCCCCUAAAUGUAUAGCAGAAUCAGCUCGUUCAUUGGGUGUGAUAAAUAUUACACUAUAAUGGACAUAAUUCAGCUUUAAUAGUCCAUGACUGGAC